GCACUACGCUCGUGCCGCACGGAAUUCUGGGAGUUGUAGUUUCCUUGGAGAGGCAAGGUUCAAGAUGGCCUCCCAAAUGUUUUGAUGGGGAGGAUAGAUAGGGAGGGACUUGAGGGUGGGGACGACCGGCAGUAGAGGUGAAACUUAAAACUAAUUUGUGUACUUGCCCCACCCUUUUUUUUUCCCUUUGCUAUCAUCUUCAAAUGUCUCCUACUUUUGAGCCAAGAAAAACAGUACAAGUAUUCGAAUUCACACUAUUUGAAGUUAUAAUUAUGUAAAAUAUGGUAACUGGCUUCAGUGCAAUGGAAGUAUACUAAGUUCGAAUAAUACCACCGCUUAAGGGCAUUUCUUGUUAGCAUUAAUUGGGACCUCCUGAAUACGGAAUGACUUCAACAACUUAAACAGAAAAAGUAUCCGGAAAAACAAUCAGAAAUCAAUAUUGCAAAAUUACAAAAAAAACCCGAGAGAGCAAAUAUCAGAACACGCCCUGGCUGCAUACCUUUGUGGAGGGGUGGAGUCCCUGCAGAUUGCAGUGUUCUCUUCUCUGGAAGAUCGCGUUCUCCGGGAGCAGGUUUCGUGGGGAACUUCUGGAGGCAGCCUGCCUUGGCGUUCAGAGUUAAAACGCGGCCAGCUGUUAAAGAUUUGGCCUUCAUACUUAUGUGUGGGAUGUAGAAGACCCUUGCCCAAAAUGAUGACGCAGAGAUCACUCAGUAGAAAGCAGAAAGGUUGAUGAUGAGCUCUCCCAUCACAAGAUAAGGGAAAGAGAAAGCUCGAGGAACCUGCAAGGAACCUUCAUCAUGUUUUUCUGAAGAAUGCAGGUAUCCUGACUCUUACCUUUUGAAAUCUGUUAACAAAAUGGAGUUGAGGGUAGGUUAUAGGAAUGUUUAGAGGCACCACAACAAGGAGGAGGGUAAGCCUUUAUUAACUAAUAGAACUUCUGCAACUUGGUCAUUUCCCUCUGUAUUUGCUACUGAAAAACUAAAACCACUCACCAUCACUGAGACUUAUAUUUCCUUAAAUUGUUUAAAGUCAUUUAAAACCACCUAAAAUAAGAAUGCAUGCUAUUUUUGAGGAGUACAGCAAGAGGAAAAAGGAAUAAGAACCACAUAGGUUGGCAUCUUCUCCUAUAGUCUAAGCUGGGGGGUAGUAGGAACAUAGGUGGAGAGAUAUAUGGGUAUUACUAUAAAAACUCAGAGAAGUCCAAAGAGCAUCCUUAGGCUUACAGGUGGAAAAGUCAGAUUAUGGAUGUAAUGGGAUCAUACUAUGGCCAAAAGAGGUAUGAUUUCAGAGGGAAUAUCUCUUUCAUUUUGAAUUAAAUUUUGGGUUUUUCCCCUAUUCCUGUGAAGACUCUGAUUUGGGUAUAAAUGAAAGACCUCACUCAUUCAGAUAUUGACAGAAAAAGGCAACGUUUAAAAAUGAAACAGAAAGAUUUUUCAAAAGUAGCCUCUGAUUUAUGGGUAUCAGUCUCAGCUAAGCUGUUUCAUUUCAUAUAAAGAUACUUAAAAAAAAAAAGCUUUGUUAUAAACUAAUAUCUUGUUUCUAAUCUUCACAGCCUUUCCUCA